CCGGGGACCGUAAAGAGGGACUGGGACCGGGAAGGGGGGACAGGGACCGGGACCGGCGAAAGGGACCCGGGACCGGGAGUGGGAAGGGGGACCGGGAACGGACCGGGACCAGGACCGAGGAGGGUGAACGGGAACCGGGCAGCGACCCCUCUCCACCCCCCCCGAGCUCCCUAGCCCGUUCCCCGCCCCGACCGGGACCCCCGCAACCGGACCCCGGGGCCGGCUCCUCCCGCUGCCGCCGCUCCGGUGCCCCCGGUGCCGCUGCUCAGCCGUGAAACCCCCCGGCAGCUCCCCCCCGGCCCUUCCCGAGGCCCCGUUACCGCCGGGCCGAGCCCCCCCGGUGCUGGCGGGGGUGUCCGGGGGGUGUCCGGCGGGGCCGUGCCGGUGCCGUUAGCCCGGGGUGCGGCGGGGAGCCGGCCGUGCCCGCGGUCGAGCUGAACAAAGCUGAGGAUGGAGACCAGGGCUCUCCCCGGCCACCCCACAGCCUGCAGCAGCGUCCCCGCUGUGUCCGAGGAUCCUCUCGCAGCCAAAUCGCUCCGCAGCAGCCGCGGCAGCUGCUGCCGCUCUCCUCAACAGUUGCGGCGUCAACCUGCCCGGCAUAAAUCACCCUCGCGGGCUCAUCUGUUCCUCUUGGCCACUCGCCGCGAGCGGCAACAACCCAUUAGCUGGGAACAGCACGGCACGGACGGGCUAAGGAGACGGUGACAGAUCGGGGCCGGGGGAGCGCAGGCAGCUUCCCAGCAGCGGGGUGGCUCCCGCGUGGCGCCUGGCCCCAUUGCUGCCCCAUUGCUGCCCCAUUGCUGCCCCAUUCUCUGUCCCCACUGCUGGGCACCCCAUUGACCGAGCCCCCACUCCCCUCUCUGCUCAGAGCCCUGGGGACAAUCCCAACCUUGUUUCCAUCCCCUGGGGUCAGCCCCUGAAUCUUUUUGGGGUCCCGGCAGCGGGUGAGGGUGGCGCUUGGCUCAGGGUGGUGCUGGGGGUCUCCUCAUCCCCUUUGCCUUCCCUGUUCCCCCCUCCCUGCUGGGUGCCCCCAUCCCCGGGCAGGCAGAGGCUGCUUUGCUGCUUUCAUUGCCAAUCAGUGGGGGAUGAGCGCUGGUGCUGCAGAAAAGCAGGAAAAAUAAUAAUAAAGGGGGGGGAAGGAACAGCAUCUGGGCCAAGCAGCCUGCCCGGCUCUCCGGCUCUCUCCCU